GCUUACGGCCAUAUCACGUUGAAAGCACCGGUUCCCAUCCGAUCACCGAAGUUAAGCAACAUCGAGCCUAGUUAGUACUUAGAUGGGUGACCGCUUGGGAAACCUAGGUGCUGCAAGCA
rnacentral:rRNA from 1 species